AGUGGCAGACGGGUGAGUAACACGUAGGUAACCUGCCCUCGAGACGGUGAUAACGGCUGGAAACGGUCGCUAAGACCCGAUAUAGUCUGACCUUCGGGAGAAGGUGAGAGGAAAGGCUUCGGUGCUCGGGNAGGGGCCUGCGGCCCAUACAGCUAGUUGGAGAAGGUAACGGCUCCCCAAGGCAAUGACGGGUAGGGGGUGUGAGAGCAUGGCCCCCCACACUGUGACUGAGACACGGCCCAGACUCCUACGGGAGGCAGCAGCAGGGAAUAUUGCGCAAUGGACGGAAGUCUGACGCAGCGACGCCGCGUGGAUGAUGAAGGCCUUCGGGUUGUAAAAUCCUUUUCCGGGCGAUGAGGAAGGACACUAGCCUGGGAAUAAGCGUCGGCUAACUACGUGCCAGCAGCCGGGGGAAGACGUAGGACGCGAGCGUUAUCCGGAUUUACUGGGCGUAAAGCGCCUGCAGGGGGCCAGGUAAGUCGGUUGUGAAAAGCCCCGUGCUCAAACGCGGGGAGGCCAAGCGGAUACUGCGUGACUUGAGGGCGGAAAAAGGGGAGUGGAAUUCCCGGGUGUAGCGGUUAAAAUGGCGCAGAUAUCGGGGAGGAACACCAAGUGUCGAAAGCGGCUACCUGGUCGGCAACUGACGCUCAGAUGGCGAAACUUAGUGGACGAACAAGAAUUAUAGACCCUGGUAGUCCCAGCCCUAAACGCGGAUGCUAAGUGUAGGCUGAUGAGGCUCUGUGCCGGACGAACGCGAUAAGGAUCCCCGCCUGGGUAAAUACGCCCCCAAGGCUUAAACUCAAUCGAAUUGACGGGAACCGCACAAAACAACGGAGCGUGUGGUUUUAUUCGAUGCUACACGAAGAACCUUACCUGGGUUUGACAUGCUGGGUGGUACCGAACCGAUAAGGGAGGGAACCUUCGGGGAGCCAACACAGGUUGCCUGCAUGGCUGUCGUCAGCUCGUGCCGUGAGGUGUCAGGGUUAAGUCCCAGUAACGAGCGCAAACCCCUUGCUCUUAGUUAUACGUGUCUUAAGGGGACUGGCGGCCACAAGCCGGAGGAAGGUGGGGAUGACGUCAAGUCAACAUGGCCUUGAUAUCCAGGGCUACACACACGCUACAAUGGCUUGUACACCGGGCAGGCAAGCCGCGAGGUGGAGCGAAUCCCAGCAAAGCCGGUCACAGUUCGGAUUGCAGGCUGCAACCCGCCUGCAUGAAGUUGGAGUUGCUAGUAACCGCGCGUCAGCCAUAGUGCGGUGAAUACGUACCCGGGUCUUGUACACACCGCCCGUCACGUCAUGGGAGUUGCAACGCCUGACAGCGGUAGCCUAACC
rnacentral:rRNA from 1 species